GUCCAUGCCGUAAACGAUGAGAACUAGAUGUGUGAGGUAUUGACCCCUUACGUGUCGCAGCUAACGCAGUAAGUUCUCCGCCUGGGAAGUACGGCCGCAAGGUUAAAACUCAAAGGAAUUGACGGGGGCCCGCACAAGCGGUGGAGCAUGUGGUUUAAUUCGACGCAACGCGAAGAACCUUACCUAGGUUUGACAUCUGUAGAAGUUGGCUGAAAGGUCGAUGUGCCCGCAAGGGAACUACAAGACAGGUGCUGCAUGGCUGUCGU
rnacentral:rRNA from 1 species